rnacentral:rRNA from 1 species
GACGAACGCUGGCGGCGUGCCUAAUACAUGCAAGUAGAACGCUGAAGGAGGAGCUUGCUCUUCUGGACGAGUUGCGAACGGGUGAGUAACGCGUAGGUAACCUGCCUGGUAGCGGGGGAUAACUAUUGGAAACGAUAGCUAAUACCGCAUAACAGUAGAUGUUGCAUGACAUUUGCUUAAAAGGUGCAAUUGCACCACUACCAGAUGGACCUGCGUUGUAUUAGCUAGUUGGUGGGGUAACGGCUCACCAAGGCGACGAUACAUAGCCGACCUGAGAGGGGGAUCGGCCACACUGGGACUGAGACACGGCCCAGACUCCUUCGGGAGGCAGCAGUAGGGAAUCUUCGGCAAUGGACGGAAGUCUGACCGAGCAACGCCGCGGGAGUGAAGAAGGGUUUCGGAUCGUAAAGCUCUGUUGUAAGAGAAGAACGAGUGUGAGAGUGGAAAGUUCACACUGUGACGGUAUCUUACCAGAAAGGGACGGCUAACUACGUG